AAGGCAAGCACGCUACUACUUGAGCCAUAUCCCCAGGCCUAAAGUAACUUUUUUUAAGUUUUGAUUUUUAUUUUUAGUCCUGAAAAGUAGACAGUAAAACAACUUCUGGAAGAAUUUACAACCAACUGCAUGAGAGUCUGGGAAGCUGAGAGGUUGAAGCAGGGCUGAGAGGAGCAGACCAGAAGUCUGACUAAGGAGCAGACUUCCCUUAGUCACUGGAGGCCAAUUGUAACUAAAAAGAGACAAAAAUCAACAAGUGUUUGAAAACCAGGAAAUGACACAGAUUAUCAAGUUAGUAUCAGUUAUAAAAAAUUCAUAUAACCAAGAAAAUAGAGAAAUCAUGA
rnacentral:lncRNA from 1 species